CAGGGCUGAGGUCUCUGGGGAAGGCAGAGCUGUGGUCUAGAAGAAGAUGAGGCUGCUGGGUCUUCUCCUGUGCCUGGUGACAGCCCCCCAAGGUGUCCUGUCCCAGGAGAAGCUGAAGCAGUGGGGCUCAGGACUGGUGAAGCCCUCGCAGACCCUGUCCCUCACCUGUGCUGACUAUGAAGUCUCCAUCACAACCAGUGGUUACCGCUGGCACUGGAUCCGGCAGCCCCUGGGGAAGAGGAUGGAGUGGAUUGGGUGCAUAUGUAACAACGGGGACACAUACUACAGCCCGUCCCUCAAGAGCCGCACCUCCAUCUCCAGAGACACAUCCAAGAACCAGUUCUCCCUGCAGCUGAGCUCUGUGACCUCUGAGGACACAGCUGUGUAUUACUGUUCGAGGGACACAGAUCUCUGA